AAAAAACUAAAAUACAGUUCUACUUUCUCAAUUAAAAACUCUUCUGAAUUGAUAAAGAACAUUGAGAUGACAGAAUUAGAUCCCGAUAAAAAUUACAUCAUAGCUUCAUUUGACAUCGUAAAUUUGUACACCAACAUUCCCGUAGACGAAUCCCUCAUUGUGCUUAAAGAAUACUUGGAGGAAUACAUAAACUCCGAUGAUGUUUUAAACCUAGAUAAUACGGACGUAGAAAACAUAAGUAAACUAUGUGAAGUGAUUACUGAACAAAAUUUUUUCAUUUUCGACAACACAAUAUACCUGAUGAAAGAUGGUCUACCAAUGGGCCUGCCAUCCAGUGGACUCAUAGCUGACGCAUACGUGGACAAGGCAGAAAAACAAAUUAUGCAACUACAAAAUAGUGACAAAAUUAUCCUUUGGAGAAGAUACGUAGACGAUAUCUUUGUUAUCUGGUCAGGCACCGAACAAGAGCUGUCAGAAUUCUUCGACCUCAUGAAUUCAAAAUUUAAAAUCAAAUUUUCUCUAGAAAAGUCAGUGUCCAAUUGUAUUAAUUUUCUUGACCUCACAAUAUCCUUAGAAGAAGGUAAUAUUUUCUCAUAUAACAUCUACAGAAAACCUACUCAAACUGACUUAAUAAUUCCUCACGACUCAUAUCACGCACCUUCAGCAAAGAAAGCCGCCUUCUCAUUUCUAUUCAGGAGACUCCUCAACGUUCCAAUGUCUACAGAAAAUUAUAAAAAAGAAAUAAAAACCAUUUACCAGAUCGGAGAAAAUAAUCAAUACUCUGACAGAUACAUGGAUACAAUAUUUAAUUCCAUUAAAAGAAAGAUUAUUAUUGAUAAGAUAUACCCACAUACAUCAACAAACGAUCGUUUCAUAUCAAUACCCUUUUAUAGAGACUUAAAUCCAAAAUUAAUUUCAACUCUCAAGAAAUAUAACUACACCCUUUCUUACAGAAGACAUGCAACCCUAGAAAAUUUAUUAAUUAACUGUAAGAAGAGAAGAGAGAAAGAAGAAAUGAGUGGUGUCUACAAAAUCUCCUGCAGAGACUGCGAAUCCUUUUACAUAGGAAUGACAACUCGAAAUAUGAAAAAGAGAUUUAACGAACAUUUAAAAAAUAGACCCAUAUCUGCUCUUGGAGAACAUCUAAAGGAAAAAGAUCACAGCACCAAUUUUGAUAACCUCGAGAUUUUACAUAAAGAAACAAACUACCACAAAAUAACCCUGUUAGAGCAAUACGAGAUAUUGAGAAAAAAGAAUGACUCGAACCUCCUAAAUGACAUAUCAGAUUUCCGAACAUCCAAGAACAUUUUUAAGCUGAUAACUCCCUGCAUUUAAUUUGAAUUUACCCGCCAAACCUUGACACUUCUUUCCUUACCGUAAUCUCGCACCUCUGUUUCCGUUCAAACAUCUUUCUGGUUUCUAGACUGAAUGCCUGCUCCAAAAAAUACAUUAAAUAUCGCCAACAAAUUGGAAUUAAGGAUCAAUUGUCUUUUUAAUUAUGAACAAGAAUUUUUCAUGUUGUUACUUCAGCUGAAUUACUAAACGCUGGCCUGAUGAUGGUUCCACUGUAAACCGAAAUCGAUCGCCGAAGUAUAAAUAUAUAAAUCAUAUAGUGUGUUUUUCCACCCAUCCUUUAAAUACCAUACACA